GAUGAACGCUGGCGGCGUGCCUAAUACAUGCAAGUCGAGCGAACAGAUGAGGAGCUUGCUCCUCUGACGUUAGCGGCGGACGGGUGAGUAACACGUGGAUAACCUACCUAUAAGACUGGGAUAACUUCGGGAAACCGGAGCUAAUACCGGAUAAUAUAUUGAACCGCAUGGUUCAAUAGUGAAAGACGGUUUUGCUGUCACUUAUAGAUGGAUCCGCGCCGCAUUAGCUAGUUGGUAAGGUAACGGCUUACCAAGGCAACGAUGCGUAGCCGACCUGAGAGGGUGAUCGGCCACACUGGAACUGAGACACGGUCCAGACUCCUACGGGAGGCAGCAGUAGGGAAUCUUCCGCGAUGGGCGAAAGCCUGACGGAGCAACGCCGCGUGAGUGAUGAAGGUCUUCGGAUCGUAAAACGCUGUUAUUAGGGAAGAACAAAUGUGUAAGUAACUAUGCACGUCUUGACGGUACCUAAUCAGAAAGCCACGGCUAACUACGUG
rnacentral:rRNA from 1 species